UAUACAGAAUGGUGCUCAAAAGAAAGCAAUGUGAUAUGGAUUCCAUACCAUUAUCCACAUUAACGUAGCAACCCUCUGGUCCUAAGAAAUAUGUUCAUCUCACAUGCUAUGGAAGACACUAGUGGUCCUGAGUUGUGUCUUUUGUAUAUCCUGUGAUGUCAGAUGGGGAAAAAGAAGCCCAGAGCAGGUAAAUGAAUUGCCCCAAAAGCAUGAGGGAAGAGUCCAUUACAGCCAACUCUUACAGUGGGAAGUGAGACAGACGGGCAUGUUACGGACACUCAUUUCCUGGCUUAGGCAACUUCACUCUUUAAUUAGAGGAGCCAGGAAAAAAGCCACAGAGCUGCUCUGCGCUGAGGAGAGCACAAGUUGCUAGAGCCUCUGGGGUACAUAAGGCUAUUAAGGAAACCAAGGUACCUGCAAUAAGUCUAUUUAUGCAUGGAUAAUGCUCUUUACUUCUAAAUAUCCAAUAACAGAUGUCCUAAGAACCUAAACUGA